rnacentral:rRNA from 1 species
GGCGACCGGCGCACGGGUGAGUAACGCGUAUCCAACCUGCCUUACACUCUUGGACAGCCUUCUGAAAGGGAGAUUAAUACAAGAUGUUAUCAUGAGUAAGCAUUUUCGCAUGAUUAAAGGUUUACCGGUGUAAGAUGGGGAUGCGUUCCAUUAGAUAGUAGGCGGGGUAACGGCCCACCUAGUCUUCGAUGGAUAGGGGUUCUGAGAGGAAGGUCCCCCACAUUGGAACUGAGACACGGUCCAAACUCCUACGGGAGGCAGCAGUGAGGAAUAUUGGUCAAUGGACGAGAGUCUGAACCAGCCAAGCAGCGUGAAGGAUGAAGGUUCUAUGGAUUGUAAACUUCUUUUAUACGGGAAUAAACGGAUCCACGUGUGGAUUUUUGCAUGUACCGUAUGAAUAAGGAUCGGCUAACUCCGUGCCAGCAGCCGCGGUAAUACGGAGGAUCCGAGCGUUAUCCGGAUUUAUUGGGUUUAAAGGGAGCGUAGAUGGGUUGUUAAGUCAGUUGUGAAAGUUUGCGGCUCAAC